AGUCGACCCCUAAGGCGAGGCUGAAAAGCGUAGUCGAUGGGAAACAGGUUAAUAUUCCUGUACUUGGUGUUACUGCGAAGGGGGGACGGAGAAGGCUAGGCUAGCCGGGCGACGGUUGUCCCGGUUUAAGCGUGUAGGGGGUGUGACCUGGUAAAUCCGGUUGCAUGUUAACCCUGAGGCGUGAUGACGAUGCACUACGGUGCAGAAGUAGUUGAUGCCCUGCUUCCAGGAAAAUCCUCUAAGCUCCAGGUAACAUUAAAUCGUACCCCAAACCGACACAGGUGGUCAGGUAGAGAAUACCAAGGCGCUUGAGAGAACUCGGGUGAAGGAACUAGGCAAAAUGGUGCCGUAACUUCGGGAGAAGGCACGCUGGCAUGUAGGUGAAGUCCCUUGCGGA
rnacentral:rRNA from 1 species